rnacentral:rRNA from 1 species
AUUGAACGCUGGCGGCAGGCCUAACACAUGCAAGUCGAACGGUAACAGGAAGAAGCUUGCUUCUUUGCUGACGAGUGGCGGACGGGUGAGUAAUGUCUGGAAAACUGCCUGAUGGAGGGGGAUAACUACUGGAAACGGUAGCUAAUACCGCAUAAUGUCGCAAGACCAAAGAGGGGGACCUUCGGGCCUCUUGCCAUCGGAUGUGCCCAGAUGGGAUUAGCUAGUAGGUGGGGUAACGGCUCACCUAGGCGACGAUCCCUAGCUGGUCUGAGAGGAUGACCAGCCACACUGGAACUGAGACACGGUCCAGACUCCUACGGGAGGCAGCAGUGGGGAAUAUUGCACAAUGGGCGCAAGCCUGAUGCAGCUAUGCCGCGUGUAUGAAGAAGGCCUUCGGGUUGUAAAGUACUUUCAGCGGGGAGGAAGGGGGUAAAGUUAAUACCUUUGCUCAUUGACGUUACCCGCAGAAGAAGCACCGGCUAACUCCGUG